UACGUAGGGCGCAAGCGUUAUCCGGAAUUAUUGGGCGUAAAGAGCUCGUAGGCGGUUUGUCGCGUCUGCUGUGAAAUUUCGGGGCUCAACCCCGAACUUGCAGUGGGUACGGGCAGACUAGAGUGUGGUAGGGGAGACUGGAAUUUACGGUGUAGCGGUGAAAUGCGUAGAUAUCGUAAGGAAGACCAGUGGCGAAGGCGGGUCUCGUGGACAGUUCCUGACGCUGAGGCACGAAGGCCAGGGGAGCAAACGGG
rnacentral:rRNA from 1 species